UUUAAAGUUAAUGGGCAGCGCCUCAAGUUGUAGUUUGGUGAAGGCCCUAGUUUAGGAAUGAUUGAAGUGGUGUAUUUGGACGACACUUGAAUGCAUGUCCACGUCGUGCCACGAUGUUAACUAAGGCGCUUCUUGGGAGGCAACCCAAGUUUUAGUGUUUUUCAAUAAUUGUGUGUUCAUUGUGUAGUUGAAGUUGGACUUGAUUGAAGUGCCUCAGUGGGCGAGAAAAGGAAACCACUUGGCAAGCCGCCGAAUCUGGUAGGCGAGCCCAUUGGGAUCGCCUUUUUAGGCGUCAAGGUGGCUAAUUUAUCCCUGGAGGUUCUGGUCUUUAGGCAAGCCAAAGUCCCACUUGGUCGCCCAGCAAUAAGGCGAUCCCGCACAAGAUCGCCAUUCAGACCUCCGGAUUACCUUACAUUCCCCGAGUGUUCUUUAACUAUUGGCGAUCUGCUGCACUAGUUGGCAACCCACCUGCAUGUUUUGGUGAGAUCCAUCGUCCUCGCCAUUCACUCAUCCAAGACCCUCAGAAUUAGCGCAUUCAGUGAGCAAAAGACAGUUUGGCGAUGAACUCUUUGGCGACGUUAUGAGCUCUUCGCCGAAUUGAAAGACCACCUGGAAUUAAAAGGGGCUCUUUUAUUUAAAUGUCCAACUUUUCAAAUUUCUCUCCUUCAUCUUCCACACUUUUCACCUCCUUUAUUUCCCUUAUUUUAGUUUAUUUUAUUUCAUUGUAGUUGCAUUCUCUUUCGUACCUGUAUGGAUUAAACUUGUGCUCUCAACCAUCUUUCCCUUGUUCAUCAUUUUAGGGAUUUUACAGGUGUGUUUCCUUGGUUCAUGUCCUGUAUUUCUUCUAUUCUUGUGUGAAUUCUUUAAAUGGUUUGGAUGUUAUUACCUUUCUGUUGAUUGGGCAUGAAUGCAUGAGAUUUUCUUUGACAAAUUUUUUUGAAUUUAUAAUCGUUUGUUGGUUGAGACUAACAGUGACAUCUUUGGCCUGAAUCAUGUGUAGAUCCUUCAAUGUUGAAUGCUAGUGUGUCACAUUUGUUUAAUAGCCUGUUUGGGGGUGAAGUCUGAGUAAUCCCGACUCCAUGAAUUCCUAAUUUUGCCUAAUGAUAGAUGGGUGACGUCAUUCUUAAGGGUGAAUUUUAUCGAAUUCUGGGUGUGGUGAUUAAUUAUGAGGGGAGUAGGAGUCCUUAUGUUGCUGGGUAAUAAGUGAGCUCCGUUAUUUAUGUGCAAAUUAUAUGGGGGUUGUUUUUCAUUGCCUAUGGGAAGGGUUUGUUACUCUGAACAUUUGAGAUAUUUGUGUUUGUGGCCAGUUAUGCGGGCUAAAAUGAGUUUGCCUAGGUUGUUGGUGAGUCUCCAAGGGUCGCGUUCACUCGACUUUUUUGAUCUCAAUUACCAGUUCUUUCUGAAUGAUGCGGCGAGCUACUGAUGGCUCGCCUAUACACCUCCGUAACUCGUCGCUUUGCACCUUCCCCUCGCCUAUUUUCCUUGUGAAAUUGAGUUUAAGUUCAAAAUCUUUCUGAUACUUUAGGCGAGAUGAUCUUGACCGUCAAAGUCAUUCGGCGUCUUGCCAACAUGGAUGAUUCUCUCCCAAUGUACCUACUUGAGGGCCAUUUGAGAUUGGCUAGCAUGACUGAGAUCGCCUUUCCUAUUUAGGCGAUCCGCCGAUCCUUUGGGCGAUGUUCAACCUCUUUUGAUCAUCUCAUUUUCUAAUCUUCACUCCCCCAAUCUUGAUUUUGAAGGCAGAGUUCCUCACUGAAAUCCCAUUUUGGGUUACCUUUCCAAAGUUACCCCUAAACUACUAAGGGUGCGACUCUUUGAGUAGAAUAGCUAGUGCUAUAGGAAUUCCACUGUUUGCGGAUGAAUGUACCACUAAACAAACUCAGAUUUCCUAUGCAAGAAUACUAAUAGAGUUGAUAUCACUAAGACAAUUCCCAGUGAGAUAAAAUUCAUGGAUGCAUAUGGACAAGCAUUUAAGCAGAUGAUAGUAUUUGAUUGGAGACUUGAGUAUUGUGAGGAAUGCAUGAUGGUGGGGCAUAACUGUCAUAAGAAAUGACCUAAGCAGCAAGACCAACCAAGAGCAAAACCACAACAACCAACCUAGAAACAGGCAAAUGCUAAGUGAUUGCCCAAAGAAAGAGUAACCCAGGAACCAAUCAAAGGCCCGAGUCAGCAGGCACACAACUUAGUGCAGAAACAACAACAUCUGAAAGCUAAGGAAUUUACACCAGUGACUUCUAGAGGAAAAUAACUUGUCCAGAGUAAUACGAGCAUCUCAGGUAAUACAGCUAAAGUGAUGAAAACAAUUCAAGCAUACUGCAAAAGCUAUAUUUGGUCAAGAGAAAAUGUGAUCACCAGGAAAGCUCUUGUUUCAUGUGACAAGAUGUGCACACCUAAGGUUGCUGAAGGACUUAACUUGGUGAAUUUAAGGGUGUGAAAUAAAGCAGCUAUCCUAUAGAUAUGCUGGGAUAUAGAACAGAAACAGGAUAGGUUAUGGAUCAUGUGGAUUCACAAUUACUACAUCAAGGGACAAAUCAUGGAAGAGUUCGGGGUACCCAAUCAAGCAUGUUGGAUGGUUAGAAAGAUUCUGGGAACUAAGGAAUUGCUGCUCUCUUUGCAUACUGCUACUACUGGAAAGAGGAGCAUGAUUAGGCAAGCCUACAAUCAAUUACUUGGCAGUUAUCCAAAGGUAGAAUGGAGAGGCUUAUUGUGUUGUAACUCUACAAGGCCAAUGGCUAUGUUUUCUCUAUGGUUACAGGUUCAAAAUAGACUACUCACAACUGAUAGGUUGCUGAAAUGGAAAAUGCAAGUGGAUCCUAAAUAUGUGAUGUGCCAACAAGUUGCAAAAACAAGAGAUCACCUAUUAUUUGAAUGCAUCUUUGCCAACUUAUUAUGGAAGAGACUACUUCAAUGGGUAAAUGUAGAAUCAAAGCACUACAGUACUGGAAAGGCACUGAAGACAAAAGGAAGAUGUUAUCAAGGAUAGGCGCAGAAGUUAAUAUAUGCAGAAUACACAUAUAUAAUCUGGAAAGAGAGAAAUGCAGGGAUCUUUGAGAAGCAAGAGAAUACAUUGGAGAAUAUAGCACGAAGGAUCGCUUGUGUAUGUUGUGUUCGAUCUACUACACCAGUCAGAUUAUUUUUAGAGAAAUGUAGCUUUUAAAGUUAGUUUUAGUAGUUAUGUAUUGUUACGUAUGAGGUAGCUAGUUGGGUAAACUAGCUCAGUUUUGUAAAUAACACUUUGGUGAUUAAUAAAAUUUUAAUUACCAAAAAAACAAUAUUAUUUUGAGAUAUAAUAUUAUUUAUAUCAUUUAAAUAAAAAAAUAUUUUAAUGUCAA